GGCCCAAGCCGCGCGGAACGCCUUCGCCCGAGCGGCGGCGGGCGCCCUCAGUCCCCCCUCCCCCCGGUGGCGGUUGUAGCCGGUGUCCCCUGCCCGGUGACUCGCUCGGCCGUGUUCCGGCCACCCAUAAACAAGCGAGGCUGUGAGUUUAACACUAAAGAAAUCCUCUCAAAUAACCGGGGAGCGGCGCCCCGUUACCCCCGCUGCCCGAGGGCGUCGCGUUCGCGGCGCUGCUGCCUGCGGCGCGUGAGGGCGGCAGGUGCGCGCGGGGCCCGGUCUCCUCAGAGGCGCUGGCGGGCGAGUCUCGGGCUGACGGUGUCCUUGAAAUUAUCUGGAACACAGAAGGACAGGAAGGAUUGUGACAAUGACAGAGGAGUCAUCACUAACGACCAGUGAUGGUCUGCAUGCAAGUGCUACUUCCAGAAAUCCACAAUAAAGCUAUGAGAGAGCUGGGCCUUCAGAAUACCCGUUCACAUUUCAGUUCAACUGCGAAACAUCUGCAUGGUUAAGGAAAUGUAACUGACUGGUUCUACACAAUCAAGAGCACAUUUAAAGAGGA